GGUGGAGGACGAGGGGGGCUCGGGGGCCCCGGGGCUGCGGCUCCGGCGCAGUUUCCCCACGCGGCACCGGGAGCAGCCCCUGAGGAGCUGCUUCUGCCCCCUGAUGUCCUUCCGGCAGGGAGCCUGCGUGGUGACGGGCAGCGAGGACGCCUCCGUGCACUUCUUCGACGUGGGCCGCGCGGCGCGCGCCACGGUGAACACGCUGCAGGGCCACGGGGCCGCCGUGCUGGCCGUGGCCUUCAACUGCGACGAGUCCCUGCUGGCCUCGGGGGACGCCGCCGGCACCGUCAUCGUCUGGCGCCGCCAGCACGCCUGAGGCGCCCCGAAACCCCCACGGAGAACCCCAAAUCUGCCUGGAAACACCCCCAGAGUACCCCAAAAACCUCCCUGAAAUGCC